GGUGGCUCAGUGGUAGAGUGCUUGCUUUGUAAGCAUGAGGCAGCUCUGGGUUCGAUUCCUCAGCACCA
rnacentral:tRNA from 1 species